GGGGGCGCGCGGGUUCGACAGGGGAAGGCCUACAGAAUUGCAGGCUGAGGUCCCACUAACCUCAUAAAACAAGUGGAAAAAAAAUAACUGGCGAACCUGUUUACGCUUAACGGGUCACAUCUAACCUGAGGUCUCCUCGAAGCUUGGGAUUAGGUGUCAGAAAAAAUCGAGGUGCUCCAAUCCUGAUGUCGAUAGGGCUUGGUUAAGAAGCAUCGGCUGGUCUGGCUUGAUUCGGUCAGCAGAUGAAAGUCAGAUGAGAUAAAAGGAGCUGACUAAGCUUGUAGCAUAUUCUGGCAACCUUCUUUUGGACGGGGAGUUCAACUCUCCCCCGCCUCCACCA
rnacentral:tmRNA from 1 species